CCUGCCGGCGACCGGCGCACGGGUGAGUAACACGUAUGCGACCUGCCCCCGCAGGGGGAUAACCGGGAGAAAUCCCGACUAAUACCGCGUAACGUCGCGGACCUGCAUGGGUCUGCGGCCAAAGGAAGCGAUUCCGGCGGGGGAUGGGCAUGCGGCGCAUUAGCUAGUCGGCGGGGUAACGGCCCACCGAGGCGACGAUGCGUAGGGGUUCUGAGAGGAAGGUCCCCCACACUGGUACUGAGACACGGACCAGACUCCUACGGAAGGCAGCAG
rnacentral:rRNA from 1 species